rnacentral:rRNA from 1 species
UUCCCUACGGGACGCAGCAGUGGGGGAUAUUGCACAAUGGGGGAAACCCUGACGCAGCGACGCCGCGUGAGCGAUGAAGUAUUUCGGUAUGUAAAGCUCUAUCAGCAGGGAAGAAAAUGAUGGUACCUGACUAAGAAGCCCCGGCUAACUACGUGCCAGCAGCCGCGGUAAUACGUAGGGGGCAAGCGUUCUCCGGAUUUACUGGGUGUAAAGGGAGCGUAGACGGCAGUGCAAGUCUGAAGUGAAAGGCAAGGGCUCAACCCUUGGACUGCUUUGGAAACUGUGCUGCUGGAGGGUCGGGGAGG